GGCUUGUGACUCAACGGUAGAGCACUUGCCUAGCACGUGUGAGGCCCUGAGUUCAAACAUCAGCACCA
rnacentral:tRNA from 1 species